rnacentral:rRNA from 1 species
AGAGUUUGAUCCUGGCUCAGAUUGAACGCUGGCGGCAUGCUUUACACAUGCAAGUCGAGCGGCAGCGCGGGGGCAACCCUGGCGGCGAGCGGCGAACGGGUGAGUAAUGCAUCGGAACGUACCCUGGAGUGGGGGAUAACGCCGCGAAAGCGGCGCUAAUACCGCAUAUGCUCUGAGGAGGAAAGUGGGGGACCUGCAAGGGCCUCACGCUCUGGGAGCGGCCGAUGUCCGAUUAGCUAGUUGGUGGGGUAAAGGCUUACCAAGGCGACGAUCGGUAGCUGGUCUGAGAGGAUGAUCAGCCACACUGGGACUGAGACACGGCCCAGACUCCUACGGGAGGCAGCAGUGGGGAAUUUUGGACAAUGGGGGCAACCCUGAUCCAGCCAUGCCGCGUGAGUGAAGAAGGCCUUCGGGUUGUAAAGCUCUUUUGGUCGGGAAGAAAGUGCCUUGCCUAACAGGUGGGGUAUUUGACGGUACCGGCAGAAUAAGCACCGGCUAACUACGUGCCAGCAGCCGCGGUAAUACGUAGGGUGCGAGCGUUAAUCGGAAUUACUGGGCGUAAAGCGUGCGCAGGCGGUUCGUUAAGUCUGAUGUGAAAGCUCUGGGCUCAACCUGGGAAUGGCAUUGGAAACUGGCGGGCUGGAGUAUGGCAGAGGGGGGUGGAAUUCCACGUGUAGCAGUGAAAUGCGUAGAGAUGUGGAGGAACAUCGAUGGCGAAGGCAGCUCUCUGGGUCAAUACUGACGCUCAGGCACGAAAGCGUGGGGAGCAAACAGGAUUAGAUACUCUGGCUAGUCCACGCUCUAAACGAUGAUCACUGGGUGUUGGGGAAGCGAUUUCUUUGGUACCGUAGCUAACGCGUGAAGUGAUCCGCCUGGGGAGUACGGUCGCAAGAUUAAACUCAAAGGAUUG